rnacentral:lncRNA from 1 species
UUGUUAACAUGAAUAUGUUAAUAAUAUUGAUUUUGAUGAUAACAAACUUUAAAUGGUUUUUGAUAAAAAUGUUGGAGCUAUUCCUUAAUAAACGAAAGCCUUAAUAAUCAUUCCAUUCAUAUUCAUAAAAGAUGGACUUUCAAAUUAGAAAAAGAUUCUCUGCAAAAUCUGGUUUAAAAUGUGAUUCUGGAAAUAAACGGUGAACCGUUUUAUUUUAAACAGUUAACCGAUUAAUACCAGAGAGCAACAUAUUGCCUAAGCUCUAACCGUUUAUGAAAAACGGAAAACACAAAAGAUGGGAAGGCUACUAGAAUUUAACGGUGAACUGUUUAUAGAAACGGUUAACCGAUAACAUCCAGAAUUGAAGGUUGUACUCCUUUGGCACUGUUUAACAAAACCGGAUAAGGCUAAAUUGCUUUGCAGGAUACUGGAAACAAACGGCGAACCGUUUAUCACAAACGGUUAACCGAUAAUAUCCAGAGAAGUCAUUUCAUGCAAAUCCUUAACCGUUUAAUGUAAACGGAUAACUGAUGUUCAUCUUGCAGGUCUCUGGAAUUUAACGGCGAAAGGGUAAUCAUGAAAUGGCAAACCGUUUAUUUGAAUUUUAGCCCAACGGUAACUUUUGACCAGCCUAAACGGUUAACCGUUAAUGGUUAACGGUGAAUUGUUUUCGGGCCAACAAUUUGUAACGACUAGUUUUUCAACUCCAAAUAUAAAUAUGCCCAUUCAAAUUCAAAGAAGAUUGAUCACAACACGACUAUUGAGCUUAUAUUCGAGAAUACAAUCUUCAUAGAGCUUAGAACACAUUCUUGCUUCAUCUAUUCAUAUAUUGGGCAUCAUUGUGUAAUCUUAUAUAUUGUGAGAGGCAAACCAAAUUUGAAAUCUUUUGUUUUGAGUGAUUGUAAGUGUUGGGAUACACUUGGGUUAAAGAGAUUGGGAUAAUCUCUUGUUGUAAAGGUUAUUGACACCUUGGAAGUCAAGUGUAAGCAUUUGAAGCCUUGGAGGCUUGCUUAGUGGAAUCCUCAAGCCCGAAAAGCUUGGAGGCAUGGACGUAGGCGAGGUUGAUCGAACCACGUAAAAAUCUCUAUGUUUGAAUUUCUCUUCCCUUAUCUUUUUAUAUUGUGAUCAACUUAAUUGUUAUUGCUUUAAAUUCAUUCUAGAUUUGCAUGAUAAUUUGUCUUAGAAUCAAAUAAUUUUUAGAAUCCUAAUUCACCCCCCUCUUGGGUUGCAUACUUGUAUUUCAAAUAUAACUUGUAAAAAUUGUAAAACAAAAUAAAAGUAAAGUCACACGCACUAGCAAAAGCAACCUAAGAUAAUACCAAGUUACCAACAAUUUGCAAAGUCACCCAAAAACAAAGUAACAUAAUGCAAGUCACCAAUAAUUUGCAAACAAAAAACCCUAAGCUUUCCCGCCAUCACACGCACUAGCAACACCCAAUACUGGUUCAAUACACUCUCAACACCGAUUUGAAGGACGUCGGCCGUGCAAUGUCGGCUAGAGCAAGUCAUCUUCUUCCUCGAGUCCAUCGAGCCACUUCACAAUCACAUGUUCCAGCCGAACAAUUGCACUAUCACAACCUUCAAGAUCACAACCCGUACGGCUUCUCCUGGUUCCCAUCGUUGACGGCUCCGUAAUCACCACUUUUCGACAGGCACAACAGCCCUGGUGAAAGAUCAAACUGUGUUUGGUUUCAGAAACUUCGCCAUUUCAAUUAAUUGUGGCUUUAUUUGAACAAUUAAUUUCGGUGUUAUAUUAAUGUAUUAUUGUUACUUUAUUUGAACAAUUAAUCGUAUUGUGUUAUAUUUUAAAACUUUGAACGUAUUAUUGUAGUUUUAUUUGAACAAUUAAUCUCGAUGUGUUAUACUUUAAAACUAUGAAUGUAUUAUUUUAUCUUUAUUUAAACAAUUAA